UUUUCCUAUUUGUGCAUUUAUUUUCUCUGAUAAAACUUUUUUUCUUCAUUACAGAGGAAACGAAAGCGGGCAGAUAAUCCCACCCCUGAAUCUGCCAUGGAACCACCAGAAAUCCCUGGCAAAAACACCUGCCAAGAGGAGAUCCCAGAGCCGGAAAUGGAGCCGGCGAUAAACAACUGCCGGGUAAGCAAAAGAGAGGGGAGAGUAGGGGCAAAUAAAAAUCACCCUAUAUUUUAUA